rnacentral:rRNA from 1 species
GCGUGGAUGAUGAAGGCCCUAGGGUUGUAAAAUCCUUUCGUUGGGGACGAUAAUGACGGUACCCAAAGAAGAAGCUCCGGCUAACUUCGUGCCAGCAGCCGCGGUAAUACGAAGGGGGCUAGCGUUGUUCGGAUUUACUGGGCGUAAAGCGCGUGUAGGCGGGUCGUUAAGUUGGGGGUGAAAUCCCGGAGCUCAACUCCGGAACUGCCUCCAAAACUGGCGACCUGGAGCAAGAUAGAGGCGAGUGGAAUUCCGAGUGUAGAGGUGAAAUUCGU